UUCAGAACUGGGGAUAAAUGAGCCCUGAGCAGGAUCCUGGUGUGUAACCGUGAAUUCAGAAGUUUCCUUGUGACCUGGAUUAAAACAAACCAUUUCCUCCCCCAUCUAAUUAAGGCUAUCACCAACAGUCUAAUGAAUAUAAAGUAUUAUCAACAGAUUAAUGAGAGUCAAUGACUAAACAUGAGAGGACUUCCAAAUUCAUGGGAAAAAUAUGAGAACAUGAUGCUCACGGAAUCCCAAGUAUUCCAUCCGUAGCUGUUUGAGUAUUCCCAAUGAUGUACCAGACAAAGG